rnacentral:rRNA from 1 species
AGUAAUGUAUAGGAACUUGCCUAGUAGUGGGGGAUAACGUGUGGAAACGCACGCUAAUACCGGGGCAUACGCUCUACGGAGGAAAGCGGGGGAUCUUCGGACCUCGUGCUACUAGAUGGGCCUAUAUCAGAUUAGCUAGUUGGUAAGGUAAUAGCUUACCAAGGCGACGAUCUGUAGCUGGUUUGAGAGAAUGAUCAGCCACACUGGGACUGAGACACGGCCCAG